rnacentral:rRNA from 1 species
AACGAACGCUGGCGGCAUGCCUAACACAUGCAAGUCGAACGGGACCUUCGGGUCUCGUGGCGCACGGGUGCGUAACGCGGGGGAACGUGCCCUUAGGUUCGGAAUAACUCCCCGAAAGGGGUGCUCAUACCGGAUAAUGUCUUCGGGCCAAAGAUUUAUCGCCGUUGGAUGGGCCCGCGUUGGAUUAGCUAGUUGGUAGGGUAAAAGCCUACCAAGGCGACGAUCCAUAGCUGGUCUGAGAGGAUGAUCAGCCACACUGGGACUGAGACACGGCCCAGACUGCUACGGGAGGCAGCAGUGGGGAAUAUUGGACAAUGGGCGAAAGCCUGAUCGAGCAAUGCCGCGUGAGUGAUGAAGGCGUUAGGGUUGUAAAGCUCUUUUACCCGGGAUGAUAAUGACAGUACCGGGAGAAUAAGCUCCGGCUAACUCCGUG